AGUAGAAGGGAAAAAGGAAAUUGUCAAAAAUAAUAGUGUAGAAAACAGUCAAAAGUUUUAUUGUCACAGGGUACUAUGUACAAGUGGUUACAGCUUUUCCUAUAGCAUCUUUUGCUCUAGAAGUAUUAUUAUUAGAAUCCAGGAGCCCCAGUAAGUACAGCCCUAAAUGGUUGCAUGCUAACCAGUUUGUAACUUACGUUCUCUUUUAAAUUUAAAUGAGCUUUAUGAAGCAUCCUGGUGAUAAUGAAGAAUCCUUUUAAAUGCAACUAUUCCUUAAUUUAUCUUUUUUUCUAAGUCUGGAUUUUCAGAAAAGCUUUCCUAGAGAUGGGUCAUAUCCUCUAAAUCAAGAAAAUGUCAGUCUUAACUCCAUUCACCCAGACCCAAACCCCAAAUCUACUCUUUAUAAUCAUUUAUCCCCAACGUCCAUAGUUCCACAAUAAUCUGUACACUUCUUUGAAGUAAGUCUUGAAAAAAACCCUUCUCUCAUUUAUAUUGCACUUACCACUAUAGUCAUGAUUUCACACUCAUUUUUUGCAACUGCCUAAUUAAUGUUUUUAAAACCCCACUUCCU